GACCAUGUGGCCUAAUGGAUAAGGCGUCUGACUUCGAAUCAGAAGAUUCAGGGUCCGAGUCCCUUCAUGGUUA
rnacentral:tRNA from 1 species